GUUGUUCACUCGAUCUCAAAUCAAGUAAGACUACCCGCUGAACUUA
rnacentral:rRNA from 1 species